UACGGAGGGUGCGAGCGUUGUCCGGAAUCAUUGGGCGUAAAGAGCUCGUAGGUGGCUCGGUUAGUCGGGUGUGAAAACUCGGGGCUCAACCCCGAGACGCCACUCGAUACUGCUGUGGCUUGAGUCCGGUAGGGGAGCGUGGAAUUCCUGGUGUAGCGGUGAAAUGCGCAGAUAUCAGGAGGAACACCGGUGGCGAAGGCGGCGCUCUGGGCCGGUACUGACACUGAGGAGCGAAAGCGUGGGGAGCAAACAGG
rnacentral:rRNA from 1 species